rnacentral:rRNA from 1 species
AGUGAACGCUGGCGGCGUGCCUAAUACAUGCACGUCGAACGGAGUGGCGCACGGGUGAGUAAUGUAUAGCUAAUCUGCCCUACACUAGAGGACAACAGUUGGAAACGACUGCUAAUACUCUAUAGUGUAGGAUGAGGCUAUAUUGUAUCAGCUAGUUGGUGAGGUAAUGGCUCACCAAGGCUAUGACGCAUACCUGGUCUGAGAGGAUGAUCAGUAACACUGGAACGGAGACACGGUCCAGACUCCUACGGGAGGGAGCAGUAGGGAAUAUUGCUCAAUGGGGGAAACCCUGAAGCAGCAACGCCGCGUGGAGGAUGACACUUGUCGGAGCAUAAACUCCUUUUGUUAGGGAAGCGGUACCUAACGAAUAAGCACCGGCUAACUCCGUGCCAGCAGCCGCGGUAAUAC